ACGGAGAGUUUGAUCCUGGCUCAGGAUGAACGCUGGCGGCGUGCUUAACACAUGCAAGUCGAACGAACCUUCGGGUUAGUGGCGGACGGGUGAGUAACGCGUGGGAAUCUGCCCUCAGGAGGGGGAUAACGGUUGGAAACGGCCGCUAAUACCCCAUAUGCCGAGAGGUGAAAUGAAUUUCGCCUGAGGAUGAGCCCGCGUCUGAUUAGCUAGUUGGUGGGGUAAUGGCUCACCAAGGCAUCGAUCAGUAGCUGGUCUGAGAGGAUGAUCAGCCACACUGGGACUGAGACACGGCCCAGACUCCUACGGGAGGCAGCAGUGGGGAAUUUUCCGCAAUGGGCGCAAGCCUGACGGAGCAACGCCGCGUGAGGGAUGAAGGCCUCUGGGCUGUAAACCUCUUUUCUCAAGGAAGAAGAUCUGACGGUACUUGAGGAAUAAGCCACGGCUAAUUCCGUGCCAGCAGCCGCGGUAAUACGGGAGUGGCAAGCGUUAUCCGGAAUUAUUGGGCGUAAAGCGUCCGCAGGCGGCUUUUCAAGUCUGCUGUUAAAGCGUGGAGCUUAACUCCAUCAAGGCAGUGGAAACUGAUUGGCUUGAGUGUGGUAGGGGCAGAGGGAAUUCCCGGUGUAGCGGUGAAAUGCGUAGAUAUCGGGAAGAACACCAGUGGCGAAGGCGCUCUGCUGGGCCAUAACUGACGCUCAUGGACGAAAGCCAGGGGAGCGAAAGGGAUUAGAUACCCCUGUAGUCCUGGCCGUAAACGAUGAACACUAGGUGUCGGGGGAAUCGACCCCCUCGGUGUCGUAGCCAACGCGUUAAGUGUUCCGCCUGGGGAGUACGCACGCAAGUGUGAAACUCAAAGGAAUUGACGGGGGCCCGCACAAGCGGUGGAGUAUGUGGUUUAAUUCGAUGCAACGCGAAGAACCUUACCAGGGUUUGACAUCCUGCGAACCUCUAAGAAAUUAGAGGGUGCCUUUGGGAACGCAGUGACAGGUGGUGCAUGGCUGUCGUCAGCUCGUGUCGUGAGAUGUUGGGUUAAGUCCCGCAACGAGCGCAACCCACGUUUUUAGUUGCCAGCAUUCAGUUGGGCACUCUAGAGAGACCGCCGGUGAUAAACCGGAGGAAGGUGUGGAUGACGUCAAGUCAUCAUGCCCCUUACAUCCUGGGCUACACACGUACUACAAUGCUACGGACAAAGGGCAGCGAACUCGCGAGGGCAAGCAAAUCCCAUAAACCGUGGCUCAGUUCAGAUCGUAGGCUGCAACUCGCCUACGUGAAGAAGGAAUCGCUAGUAAUCGCAGGUCAGCAUACUGCGGUGAAUACGUUCCCGGGCCUUGUACACACCGCCCGUCACACCAUGGAAGUUGGCCACGCCCGAAGUCGUUACUCCAACCCUUGUGGAGGAGGACGCCGAAGGUGGGGCUGAUGACUGGGGUGAAGUCGUAACAAGGUAGCCGUACCGGAAGGUGCGGCUGGAUCACCUCCU
rnacentral:rRNA from 1 species